GGCAGCUCAGUGGUAGAGUGCUUGCCUUGCAUGCAUGAGGCCCUGGGUUCAAUUCCUCAGUACCA
rnacentral:tRNA from 1 species